CCCUUAGAUGUUCUGGGCCGCACGCGCGCUACACUGAUGCAUUCAACGAGUCUAAAACCUGGUCUGAUAGGGCUGGGUAAUCUUUUGAAAGUGCACCGUGAUUGGGAUAGAUGAUUGCAAUUCUUCAUCUUCAACGAGGAAUGCCUAGUAAACGCAAGUCAUCAGCUUGCAUUGAUUACGUCCCUGCCCUUUGUACACACCGCCCGUCGCUCCUACCGAUUGAAUGAUCCGAUGAAUACCAUGGAUUGAGAGUACGAAUGGGUUCGCUCAUUUCUGCUGCUCGAGAAGUGGAGUAAAUCUUAUCAUUUAGAGGAAGGAGAAGUCGUAACA
rnacentral:rRNA from 1 species